UAGCUAGUUGGUGAGGUAAAGGCUCACCAAGGCGACGAUCAGUAGCUGGUCUGAGAGGACGACCAGCCACACUGGAACUGAGACACGGUCCAGACUCCUACGGGAGGCAGCAGUGGGGAAUUUUGGACAAUGGGCGCAAGCCUGAUCCAGCAAUGCCGCGUGAGUGAAGAAGGCCUUCGGGUUGUAAAGCUCUUUUGUCAGGGAAGAAACGGGAGUGGCUAAUAUCCAUUUCUAAUGACGGUACCUGAAGAAUAAGCACCGGCUAACUACGUGCCAGCAGCCGCGGUAAUACGUAGGGUGCAAGCGUUAAUCGGAAUUACUGGGCGUAAAGCGUGCGCAGGCGGUUUUGUAAGUCUGACGUGAAAUCCCCGGGCUUAACCUGGAU
rnacentral:rRNA from 1 species